rnacentral:miRNA from 1 species
CAAAGUUGAUCAUGUUUAUGACGUCGAAUAUCGACGUCAUCAACACAAAGUUGAUCGUGUUGAUGACGUCGAAUAUCGACGUCAUCAACACCAAAG